UUUACUAUAAUUUUCCCUGGCCAUUUUAUUAUAAUUUUUAGAUUGGCCAAGGUUAAGAAAGAUGACAGCUCUGUGGGCUAGAGGGUGGAGAGACAAGCCCUCUCCUACACUGGUGAGGGGUGCCAGGAUUCUGUAGCAACACCUUUGAGUGAGCAUAACCUUGGACUCAAACAAUUUUCCUUACAGGCAAUAACCUACGAAAUACUGGGAUAUACGCACAAAGAUCCAUGUGCCAGGAUAUGUGUUGGAGGAUUUAUAUUUGGAGAAAAUUAAAUGCGCAAUGAGAGGUGCUGUUAUUAUUCCCACUUUACAGAGGGGAAGGCUGAAGCUCAAAGAAGCAAGGCAACUCUCAGGGGUCACAGAAGUGAUAAACUGAGGAGUUGGAAUUCCAGAGUCCAAGCUGGUGACGAGCACCGUGAACUCCUCUUCUCUGGCCACCACUCUACUCUACAACAAAGUCUAUAAAUUAUGGCCAUGGCCAGAUCCAGCUCGCCACCUGUUUCUCUGCUGUUCCCAAGAUGGGAAAACUGACACACAGAAAGGCAAAGGACCCCAUUAAAGUCACACGGCGAGUGAAUGUCAAAGCCAGGACCUGCAGAGGCUAUGGUGGGGGAGAGCACUUGGAGGAGAUGGGAAGGAAUCGUUGCAGGGACAGGUCUCACCCUCACUAGUGCUCACUCCAUUACUUGCCGAAUACACUGGGAGAAACACGCCCCUUCUCUUGACCCGGCUCUUUUCCACAAGGAAGUACGGGACGGAAAUUAAAGAAGAAAGUGGUUCCACAGGUUUGGUGGCUACAAAAAGAUUUCCUCGAUAAACACUGCCCACAGUCACUCAUUUGUGAAAGCUGCAUGAUGUGAAAUUAAACUCGGGCAGAGGUGCUGUGGGUGAUGAUGUCUCGGUGGCUUGGGGAAAUGAAAGCCAUUCAUCUCAGGCAAAUGUGACAGGCAGGACCAUUGGCUUUCCGUCACCUAUGGGCUGCCUUCUCAUGGCAGUGGCCUAUGCAGGCCUUACGUUUUUGCAGCAAAUUUGUAAUGAACCAAUCAGUGGCCUUCAUGUCAGGCAAUCUAGGAAGGUUUUGGAAGUGGGACUACUUGCCCCACUGUUGGUGAGUAUUAGAUAUCCCUUUAGGAAGGUUCAAGAGCCCAUGCUGGCCAGGCGCGGUGGCUCAUGCCUGUAAUCCCAGCACUUUGG